GCCAUAUCACAUUAAAACACCGCUUCUCCUACGAUUACAGAAGUUAACCAACAGCCAGCCAGGUUAGUAUCUAGAUGGGUGGCCGUUUGGGAAUACCAGGUGAUGUAAG